rnacentral:rRNA from 1 species
GACGAACGCUGGCGGCGUGCUUAACACAUGCAAGUCGAACGAGUGGCGAACGGGUGAGUAAUACGUGAGUAACCUGCCCUCUUUUUGGGAUAAGCCUUGGAAACGGGGUCUAAUACCGAAUAAAGGGGGAUGGGCUCGCGGCCUAUCAGCUUGUUGGUGGGGUGAUGGCCUACCAAGGCGGUGACGGGUAGACGGCCUGAGAGGGGGACCGGCGACAUGGGGACGGAGAUACGGCCCAGAGUCCUACGGUAGGGAGCAGUGGGGUAUAUUGGACAAUGGGCGAAAGCAUGAAGCAGCGGCGCCGCGUGAGGGAUGAAGGCUUUCGGGUUGUAAACCUCUUUCGCGAUCGAAGGGUAGGUGGAGAAGAAGCGCCGGCUAACUACGUGCCAGCAGCCGCGGUAAUUC